rnacentral:rRNA from 1 species
GACGAACGCUGGCGGCGUGCCUAAUACAUGCAAGUCGAGCGCAGGAAACUGACGGAACUCUUCGGAGGGAAGGCAGCGGAAUGAGCGGCGGACGGGUGAGUAACACGUAAGGAACCUGCAUCAAGGAUUGGGAUAACUCCGAGAAAUCGGAGCUAAUACCGGAUAGUUCAACGGACCGCAUGGUCCGCUGAUGAAAGGCGCUUCGGCGUCACCUUGAGAUGGCCUUGCGGUGCAUUAGCUAGUUGGUGGGGUAACGGCCCACCAAGGGGACGAUGCAUAGCCGCCCUGAGAGGGUGAUCGGCCACACUGGGACUGAGACACGGCCCAGACUCCUACGGGAGGCAGCAGUAGGGAAUCUUCCACAAUGGACGAAAGUCUGAUGGAGCAACGCCGCGUGAGUGAUGAAGGUUUUCGGAUCGUAAAACUCUGUUGUAAGGGAAGAACACGUACGAGAGGUAAUGCUCGUACCUUGACGGUACCUUACGAGAAAGCCACGGCUAACUACGUGCCAGCCGCCGCGGUAAGAC